rnacentral:rRNA from 1 species
GGUAGCAGGAAGUGCUUGCACUUUGCUGACGAGUGGCGGACGGGUGAGUAAUACUUAGGAACAUGCCUUUGUGUGGGGGAUAACCAUUGGAAACGAUGGCUAAUACCGCAUAAUGUCUUUGGACCAAAGAGGGCUUUCGGGCUCUCGCGCAAAGAGUGGCCUAAGUGAGAUUAGCUUGUUGGUGAGGUAAAGGCUCACCAAGGCGACGAUCUCUAGCUGUUCUGAGAGGAAGAUCAGCCACACUGGGACUGAGACACGGCCCAGACUCCUACGGGAGGCAGCAGUGGGGAAUAUUGCACAAUGGGGGCAACCCUGAUGCAGCCAUGCCGCGUGUGUGAAGAAGGCCUUCGGGUUGUAAAGCACUUUCAGUUGUGAGGAAAGGUUGAUGGUUAAUACCCAUCAGCUGUGACGUUAGCAACAGAAGAAGCACCGGCUAACUCCGUGCCAGCAGCCGCGGUAAUACGGAGGGUGCGAGCGUUAAUCGGAAUUACUGGGCGUAAAGCGCACGCAGGCGGUUAUAUAAGCUAGAUGUGAAAGCCCCGGGCUCAACCUGGGAAUAGCAUUUAGAACUGUAUGACUAGAGUCUUGGAGAGGGGAGUGGAAUUCCAGGUGUAGCGGUG